rnacentral:misc_RNA from 1 species
GAUGAAGAACGCAGCGAAAUGCGAUAAGUAAUGUGAAUUGCAGAAUUCAGUGAAUCAUCGAAUCUUUGAACGCACAUUGCGCCCGCCAGUAUUCUGGCGGGCAUGCCUGUUCGAGCGUCAUUACAACCCUCAGGCCCCCGGGCCUGGCGUUGGGGAUCGGCGGAGCCCCCCGUGGGCACACGCCGUCCCCCAAAUACAGUGGCGGUCCCGCCGCAGCUUCCAUCGCGUAGUAGCUAACACCUCGCGACUGGAGAGCGGCGCGGCCACGCCGUAAAACACCCAACUCUUCUGAAGUUGACCUCGAAUCAGGUAGGAAUACCCGCUGAACUUAAGCAUAUCAAUAAGCGGGGA